CAAUAGCGUAUAUUAAAGUUGUUGCGGUUAAAAAGCUCGUAGUUGGAUUUCUGGCUUGAGACGCCCGGCCCGCCAAGGUUACUUGUGUGAGUGCUGGUGUGUCUCUGCCAUCCUUCUGGAAAACGUUCCUACCUUUCAUUAGGCCGGGUUCGUGAUUCAGAUCAUUUACUUUGAAAAAUUAGAGUGUUUAAAGCAAGCUUGCGCUAUGAAUACAUUAGCAUGGAAUAAUAAUUUAGGACUUUGGUCACUAUUUUGUUGGUUUCUAGGACUGAAGUAAUGAUUGAUAGGGAUAGUUGGGGGUGCUAGUAUUUACGGGCCAGAGGUGAAAUUCUUGGAUUCCGUAAAGACUAACUAAUGCGAAAGCAUUCACCAAGGAUGUCUUCUUUAAUCAAGAACGAAAGUUGGGGGAUCGAAGACGAUUAGAUACCGU
rnacentral:rRNA from 1 species